UACAGAGGGGGCAAGCGUUAUUCGGAAUUAUUGGGCGUAAAGGGCGCGUAGGCGGCUUUGCAAGUGACGGGUGAAAGCCCUCGGCUUAACCGAGGAACUGCCUGUCAGACUGUGAGGCUUGAGACCAGGAGAGGUGAGUGGAAUUCCCAGUGCAGCGGUGAAAUGCGUAGAUAUUGGGAGGAACACCAGUGGCGAAGGCGGCUCACUGGACUGGUACUGACGCUGAGGCGCGAAAGCGUGGGGAGCAAACAGG
rnacentral:rRNA from 1 species